UUUCUUGAGUCUCGAGUUCCCCAUUGACAUCCUUGGCGCCAUGAUGUCGGCAAUGACUCCGUUUUCAUUCACUAGGUUAACCAGGCUGUGUUGGCUUUGUGAUGGGACUCGACCUUUUAAUGAAUCGGGUUUCAGUCACUAGGUAACGUGGCUGCCUUGUUUUUGUGCUGGAAAUCACAUUUUCAAUCGGGAAACAUACUGAACACAUGGUAGCAAGUUUGCUUCGAGUUUUGCUUAGCGGGGUGCUGACUAACUUGAAGAUCGAGUGAUGCUACCUCUCCAGAUGCUGAUAGUUAUCAAGAUGACAUGAUCGACAUCCAGAUGACUUGAUCGACUACAAGAAUGGUGCUCAUCAUGUACCAUCCAUCCCCGGCUCGUUGAUGGAUCCGAAGUGGCAGAUGCCUCCCUGAAGUGCAGUCUCCCAAUAAACUAGAAAGCCUCGGGAUGUGCUUCGCAUUGCUUAUCACAAGGCGAUGGGUCUACUUGACUGGAGAGAUGCAGUUUAUUCCUGAGCAUGAGGCGGUAGCGGUCAACUUGGUGGCUUGGUCUACUGCCGGUUCCAGAAAGCCUCCAUGGAGAAGAUGACUUGUAUCCUGCCCUUGAAAGCACCUCUAGAAAUAGUAAAAGGAUUUUGAGGAAGCGAAGGCCCUGUCAAAGGUGGAUGCCAAAUCGGAUUCAUUGGUUGAUUCUACUGGUGCCUCAAGUCAACGCAGUGUUUCCCAUAGACCAAUGUGUGGCGCAGCAGUGAAAUGCGGUUAUAGUUUAUACAUUACGAUGUUAGCCCCCCAAGCCGUGCAUUGUGGAUCCAUUUGUCAAAAAGUUGAAAAAUGUUAAACUUUUUCGGCACCGACUGAUCCGUCAUCCAAUCAGAUCGCGUGUGCAAUGUCUCGGGCUCUUACGACCCCGGAAAGCUCCCCCAUCUCUCGACGUCCUUUGACUGACGGUGCAGUGGGCAUGAGGCGUCACCCCCGCCACACAUUGUUACCGGGUCUGUGGGAAACACUGCAACGCUACAAAGAUUCAACAUGAAGUUGUGUUUGCUGUGAGUAUUCAAUAAAGAAAUGUGUCAUGGGUCAUCGAGAUGCAACAAAUGAUGACAACAUUCUGCCAAAUGAUUAAUAUGAUUAUAACCCUACCGUUCCAUAUAACUCUGACUGUUGCUUCAUUUAAUAUAAAAUACAGCGUUGUUCUGGAUCACCCAAUUCUAAUGGUGUGUAUGUCCUUUCUCUAGGUCAAUCCAUGGAUGGUACACUUCAUUGUUGGUUUUAGCAACUGUUGUAUAUUUUAUGUGACUUUGUCAAUAAAAAAACUUUGAAGUGUA